rnacentral:lncRNA from 1 species
GUUAAUAUUUAACUUUGGGCUUAAAGGAGAGAAAGCCCAAAAAAGUUCAAUAAGAAGAGUUUCUGCCCUAAACCCAGCACCAAGUCCAGAUGUCCACUUCGAGACAACAUGAUGGCUUCUCAUUAAAUGCAAAGAUUAUGUGCUUACAAAGGAAUUGACAACCGAUGGAAAUCCACCAACUCUCAGUCUAAAAGCACUUUAUGAAUGGCAUAGCAUGUAAAAUACUGAUGGUUCCCUAACCUCCAAUUGAUUUCGAGCAAGAACAGAAACAGCACAAGUCGGGUUAAUUCAUCUAUAAAAGGAGGAAGAGGGCCCAAAGACAAGGACACUUAACCAAUCAAAGAAACAAACAUGCAACUUGUCUCCCAGCCAAGCAAGUACCCAGAAAGUCGUGCUUUGUUCAGACUUUGCACCAUUUUAGCCUUAGAUUUCCUUAUAAAGACAUCUUUUGUCUAUGUAAAAGCUCUGCUACCUUUUCCUAAAUGUUGUAGUAUCGAUCUCUCAUGUAUAAACUCUUU